AGUGAACGCUGGCGGUAGGCCUAACACAUGCAAGUCGAACGGCAGCACAGUAAGAGCUUGCUCUUACGGGUGGCGAGUGGCGGACGGGUGAGGAAUACAUCGGAAUCUACUUUUUCGUGGGGGAUAACGUAGGGAAACUUACGCUAAUACCGCAUACGACCUACGGGUGAAAGCAGGGGAUCUUCGGACCUUGCGCGAUUGAAUGAGCCGCUGUCGGAUUAGCUAGUUGGCGGGGGAAAGGCCCACCAAGGCGACGAUCCGUAGCUGGUCUGAGAGGAUGAUCAGCGACACUGGAACUGAGACACGGUCCAGACUCCUACGGGAGGCAGCAGUGGGGAAUAUUGGACAAUGGGCGCAAGCCUGAUCCAGCCAUACCGCGUGGGUGAAGAAGGCCUUCGGGUUGUAAAGCCCUUUUGUUGGGAAAGAAAAGCAGCAGGUUAAUACCCCGCUGUUCUGACGGUACCCAAAGAAUAAGCACCGGCUAACUUCGUG
rnacentral:rRNA from 1 species